UGAUGUUGGUGAUGUGCUGAUGAUGAUGACAGUUCGGUACACAAAAAUAUUUUUGAUUAUUUUCUGAGUGAAUUGUGGUAUGAUAAGCUGAAGACGGAUACACAAAUUUUCAUACGAUGAUGCACAUCAUUUGCUUAGGAGGACACUAAAACCAAAGAAAUAUAGAUUGGUCCAUGCUAUGAGCUGGCAUCAUUAACAAAAUAUGAACUUGCAGCAGCCGGCCAAAACUCACGAGGGGUUAAUCACUAGGAAAUAAUGUUUAGAAAAAAACUAAACUUGAAGUAAACAUGUAACAAUGUUUUUAGUUUUAUGAACAAGCAACAAAACCGACAUUUUAUUUUGUUCCGGCCAACAACUAUUAA
rnacentral:sRNA from 1 species